CGAAGAAGGCCACCGCUGGCCCCGGCACGAAGAAGAAGGUUGUGAAGCCCUCCCCCAAGAUCUCACCGGAGGCGUCCAAGACCGUCGAAGCUGCGGACAAGGUUGAGGAGGUUUCCGCCUCUGCCGCCGCUGCCGUUGAGCCGGCCAAGGAGGAGGUCAAAGCGGCGGAGGUUGUUGAGGCGAAGGCUGAGGAGAAACCUUCGGUGCCGACGCUGGCGCCGGAACCCGAAGGCAAAGGUGAAGAGGACUCAAAGGAAG
rnacentral:misc_RNA from 1 species